GACGAACGCUGGCGGCGUGCUUAACACAUGCAAGUCGAACGAUGAACCCGGAGCUUGCUCCGGCGGAUUAGUGGCGAACGGGUAAGUAACACGUGAGUAACCUGCCCUUGACUCUGGGAUAACUGCGGGAAACUGUAGCUAAUACCGGAUACGACCCUCGGCGGCAUCGCCAGGGGGUGGAAAGAAUUUCGGUCAAGGAUGGACUCGCGGCCUAUCCGCUAGUUGGUGAGGUAACGGCUCACCAGGGCGACGACGGGUAGCCGGCCUGAGAGGGUGACAGGCCACACGGGGACUGAGACACGGCCCAGACUCCUACGGGAGGCAGCAGUGGGGAAUAUUGCACAAUGGGCGCAAGCCUGAUGCAGCAACGCCGCGUGAGGGAUGACGGCAUUCGGGUUGUAAACCUCUUUUAGUAGGGAAGAAGCGAAAGUGACGGUACCUGCAGAAAAAGCACCGGCUAACUACGUGCCAGCCGCCGCCGUAA
rnacentral:rRNA from 1 species